rnacentral:lncRNA from 1 species
AGGGGACCUGUCACUCAGGCCUCUGCAGCAUCCCUGUACUCACCAUUGUACUAUGUUUCUAUGAUUAGGCUUGCUGAGUGUGCUUUCAUCCAUCCAUAUUGAGGAACAGGAGCUGUACUUCCUCAUAAGCUGACAGUAGAAGAAAUUGUCACAGAGAAAGUUUUCCAGUAGAACAGGGGAGCACAAGACAGAGGAAACAAAAGCAUCUCGGACAGUGAGGACACACGCACAGAGCCCUGUGGAAGACAGACUUCAAGGAGCUGUUCCAGGGAAACUGAAGCAGCAGGCCUAAGGACAAGCCUGUCCCUCUAAGGUCUGAAACACCCACUGAGAUGCUGGCCAGAACUGUGGAGCUUUUAAGGAAAGUGAACACGAAGACCAGAAGACGCAGGGGGAAGCAAGUGAGAAAAACAGUGCAUAACAUGGAACAUGGGCCCCACCUGCACGGACCACAGAACACAAGAGAUUCAGAAAAAC